rnacentral:rRNA from 1 species
AGGACGAACGCUGGCGGCGUGCUUAACACAUGCAAGUCGAGCGGAAAGGCCCUUUCGGGGGUACUCGAGCGGCGAACGGGUGAGUAACACGUGAGUAACCUGCCUUUGGCUUUGGGAUAACCCUCGGAAACGGGGGCUAAUACCGAAUAUUCAGUCUUGCCGGCAUCGGUGGGGUUGGAAAGUUUUUUCGGCCAGGGAUGGGCUCGCGGCCUAUCAGCUUGUUGGUGGGGUAAUGGCCUACCAAGGCUUCGACGGGUAGCC